AAGAAAUGCUGGAAGAGCUAGAUAUCCCCAUCAUCCUUGUAAGGACACAAGAAGACUCCACCUGUAAGCCAAGAAACAGGUCCUCACCAAUCACCCAAACUGCUGAAACUUUCAGACUUUCCAACCCUAGAACAUGAGAAGUAAAUUUGUAUAUUUAAGCUACCUUGGCUGUGUUGUAUUGUUAAGCACACUCAAGAAAUUAAAUCCUACCCUUUAGGUAUAGAAUUGUACCAUUCAUCCAAGUGUCUUAUCAAGAAUAACUGCAAAAAAUAUAUAAUAUAGGUGUCUUAGUCCAUUGUGUUUGGUAAGAGUCUCCCAGACUGGUUAAUUAGAAAACAGAUUUUUAUUGACUCAAGUUUCUGGAGCCAGGGAAGUCUGGUUUCCAAUUUCUGGUGUUUGGCAAGGACUUCUAGGUGUAUGGUAGAAAAACAGAAACAAUUGUUGCAUGUCAUAAGACAGAGCAAAGCAACAGUGGGAGGCCUAAAUGUACUCUUUUGUAGCUAGCCUACUUACAUUUCUCCCCUUCUCUCUCUCUUUUUUCCCUCUUAGGUCACACAGGGUGGUGUCAGAUAUCUUCUUCAAUCACUACCUACUUUAUUUUUGACUCAAGAUCUAUCACUGAAUCUGGAUCUCACCAAUGUUGUCAGCAAGCACCAAGGAUCCUCCUGUGUCUGCCUUAACAGUAAAGGAACUAAGGCACACCCUUCUAGCCAGCUGGAUUCUCUCCCUCCGAAGACUUCAGGUUAAAGAAUGACAAGAAACAACAAACCUUUGCUGUCCUCUAACUCGGGUAGUAUUUUGGCUUCUGACACCUGAAUGCCUACUAAGAAGACAAUGUCCUGCAGUGGAUUCUUCAGCUGACCUCAGGCCACUUUGUUUUCUCAGUGUGUCAGGCUGUGCCUCAGAUGCAUCUGUGGUAAACAGAAAAGGUCAAAUGAAGGCUUGCUUCAAUAGUAUAAUAGGCAACUUUUUGUUGUUGUUGUUGUUGUUGUUGUUGUUGUUGUUGUUAUUUGAUUUUUGGUUUUUCGAGACAGGGUUUCUCUGCAUAGCCCUGGCUGUCCUGGAACUCACUCUGUAGACCAGGCUUGACCUCGAACUCAGAAAUCUGCCUGCCUCUGCCUCCCAAGUGCUAGGAUUAAAGGCAUGUGCCACUACUGCCCUAUGUUAGCAUUUUUUAACUAUUCAUUUAUUGUGUCAGAUCAAUCUCCAGAACCCAGAGGAAUCUCAGCUGUUAUUUUAUUGUAAAAUAUGUUUAUACAACUGCACCCAAAUGAAUUGGCCUCCUUUUAUUCCUCAAAUGCAGCAAAAUAGAUGGAUACUUAUUCAUGGUUUUGAACAUUUGGUUCCAACAUGGAGGCACAGUGUUGGGAGGUAAUGAACCCUUUAAGACAUGGAGGUCUGACUGGCAGAUGUUGGGCACUGGGAAAGCCUUGAGGUUUAUCACCCAGUCCUGCUUUGUCCUGUUCAUGCUUUCUGGUUUACAUCUUCCUAUUGCCACAAACUCUACAAUGCUAUCCACACUAGCAUGCUCUAAAAAACAUGAACUGAAAUAAAUCCUUCCUCAACUUGUUCCUAUAAGGUGUGAUGUCAUGGUAG